AAGAUGAAGAAAUAAUUUGGCAAACUUGCUUUUUUCAAUCUGAAGAAUGAGUAAUCGAUGCUUGUAUUUCCUCCAGUGUUCGCCCUUUCGUCUCCGGUACCAUUGCCACCGUCAGGACAAAGUUUGCACAGCAAAAGGCAGAAAACAUGAAGAAUGUCCCUGAAACAAUGCCAAAAGAAAUGCAGUAAUCUGUAAGGUCAAGAAGCUUGAGAUAUGUUACAUUAAAAAUAAACAACGCAAUCAAUCACCUGCAGAGU